GACGAACGCUGGCGGCGUGCUUAACACAUGCAAGUCGAGCGGAAAGGCCACUUCGGUGGUACUCGAGCGGCGAACGGGUGAGUAACACGUGAGUAAUCUGCCCCUGGCUUUGGGAUAGCCACCGGAAACGGUGAUUAAUACCGGAUACGACCACUUCUCGCAUGGGAUGGUGGUGGAAAGUUUUUUCGGCAGGGAUGUGCUCGCGGCGUAUCAGCUUGAUGGUGAGGUAAUGGCUCACCAUGGCUUCGACGGGUAGCCGGCCUGGGAGGGUGACCGGUCACACUGGGACUGAGACACGGCCCAGACUCCUACGGGAGGCAGCAGUGGGGAAUAUUGGACAAUGGGCGGAAGCCUGAUCCAGCAACGCCGCGUGAGGGAUGAUGGCCUUCGGGUUGUAAACCUCUUUCAGCAGGGACGAAGCGCAAGUGACGGUACCUGCAGAAGAAGCACCGGCCAACUACGUGCCAGCCGCCGCCGUAA
rnacentral:rRNA from 1 species